rnacentral:rRNA from 1 species
UACAGGGGGGGCAAGCGUUGUUCGGAAUUACUGGGCGUAAAGGGCUCGUAGGUGGCCAACUAAGUCAGACGUGAAAUCCCUCAGCUUAACUGGGGAACUGCGUCUGAUACUGGAUGGCUUGAGUAUGGGAGAGGGAUGUAGAAUUCCAGGUGUAGCGGUGAAAUGCGUAGAUAUCUGGAGGAAUACCGGUGGCGAAGGCGGCAUCCUGGACCAUUACUGACGCUGAGGCGCGAAAGCUAGGGGAGCAAACGGG